rnacentral:rRNA from 1 species
UGGGGAAUAUUGCACAAUGGGGGAAACCCUGAUGCAGCGACGCCGCGUGAACGAAGAAGGUAUUCGUAUCGUAAAGUUCUGUCCUAUGGGAAGAUAAUGACAGUACCAUAGAAGAAAGCUCCGGCUAAAUACGUGCCAGCAGCCGCGGUAAUACGUAUGGAGCGAGCGUUGUCCGGAAUUAUUGGGCGUAAAGGGUACGCAGGCGGUUUAAUAAGUCGAAUGUUAAAGAUCGGGGCUCAACCCCGUAAAGCAUUGGAAACUGAUAAACUUGAGUAGUGGAGAGGAAAGUGGAAUUCCUAGUGUAGUGGUGAAAUACGUAGAUAUUAGGAGGAAUACCAGUGGCGAAGGCGACUUUCUGGGCACAAACUGACGCUGAGGUACGAAAGCGUGGGGAGCAAACAGG